rnacentral:rRNA from 1 species
AUAUGUUUUUUUUUGAAACAGAGCAGCAUGGAAUGUGAGAGUCAUGCUUGUUUGCAAAACAUUGUGUACAGUGUGUGUCUUGAAAAUCACAUUCCUUGCCAAUGGAAUGCUAACAAACAUGGUAGUGUUCAUGAAGAAGCACAUGCUUUUGAGAUUCAUGAUGUGCAAGUACCAUGAGGGAAAUGUGAAAAGGACUUUGAAAAGAGAUUUAAAUAGAGCCCACAAUUGCUAACCAUUUUGUGCAAGUGAAACUCAAUAUGACAAUGUUGAAUUUUUGAUUAGGAUUCCAUUUGUGAAUGAUGACACUGUUACCAACCAAUAUGGCUGCAGCCUUGUAUAAAACUUCAAUGUAUGUUCAUUGUUUUUGUGUUGGACAUGCUGGCAUGUUUGCAAUUCUGUGGCAAUAUAUAAGUCUUGUCUGUGUGUGUCCUCAAAAUUAACACUGCUCCCAUGCACUUGUUGUGUUUGAAAUGGUUUCAACAGCAUGUGCUUUUUGUUGUUGAAUGUUUUCACUUGACCCGUCUUGAAACACGGACCAAGGAGUCUGGUAAGUGUGCUAGCAUAGUGAUGAKUAUUGACAUGCAAUUAACAUAAUGGUAUUGAAAUGACCAAUGCUUAUCAAACUCUGUUGUCAUGUGUUUGAAUGUGAGCACCAUUGCUAGGACCCGAAAGAUGGUGAACUAUGCUUGCACAAAACAAAUUCAGAGGAAACUCUGAUGGAAGUUUGUAUCGGURCUGACGUGCAAAU